GACGAACGCUGGCGGCGUGCUUAACACAUGCAAGUCGAACGGUAAGGCCCUUCGGGGUACACGAGUGGUGAACGGGUGAGUAACACGUGGGUGAUCUGCCCUGCACUUCGGGAUAAGCCUGGGAAACUGGGUCUAAUACCGGAUAGGACCACUGCCUGCAUGGGUGGUGGUGGAAAGCUUUUGCGGUGUGGGAUGGGCCCGCGGCCUAUCAGCUUGUUGGGGGGGUGAUGGCCUACCAAGGCGACGACGGGUAGCCGGCCUGAGAGGGUGACCGGCCACACUGGGACUGGGAAGCGGCCCAGAGUCCUACGGGAGGCAGCGGUGGGGGAUAUUGCACAAUGGGCGCAAGCCUGAUGCAGCGACGCCGGGUGAGGGAUGACGGCCUUCGGGUUGUAAACCUCUUUCAGCACCGACGAAGCGCAAGUGACGGUAGGUGCAGAAGAAGGACCGGCCAACUACGUGCCAGCCGCCGCCGUAA
rnacentral:rRNA from 1 species